CAGAAGUCAGGUCGGAUUAAGCCAUAGUACGGAAAAAACUAUGCUACCUGUGAGCCCCGUCCAAGGACGUUAAAAGAAGUCAGGCCAUUACGAGUGCCAUAGCUUGAGUAAACUAUGCAGCAUGUAGCUCCACCUGAGAAGGUGUAAAAAAUCUGGGAGGCCACAAACCAUGGAAGCUGUACGCAUGGCGUAGUGGACUAGCGGUUAGAGGAGACCCCUCCCUUACAAAUCGCAGCAACAAUGGGGG
rnacentral:lncRNA from 1 species